CGCAUUAGCCUACGUUAGCUCAACCGUUCCAUGGAAGGGACACCAAUCCAGAAUACGUUUUUUAACAGAGUGAAAAUAUGUCACACGCAAUGCAAUCACUGCAGUAUUCAUAACUCAUCUUGUAUGACAUGCCUAUCCCAUCUAUAAAAAAAUGUGUUGUUAUUUUGCUCACUCUGUACUAUUUUCCCCCAUGAAGAAACAGGAACCCCAAACAGUAUUUCUGAAGUGCUAGAGAAAAUCCACCCAGAUGAGAAUCUGUGGUCUAACGCAUGCCUGGAGUCACAAUGGAAGUUCGAGCCAGGACAUAGCCUACCAAGCUUUUAACAGGGAGCCAGAGGCAUCCUCUCUCUAACUUGUAGCCGCCUCCAACUUCAUUUUAGAGAAUAUGCCAGUAUAUCCAACCGGCCACACAACUGCAGACCAAGUGUAACCACGCCAGCCCAGGACCUCGACAUCUAUUUUCUUCACCUGCGGGAUCGUCUGAGACCAGCCACCCGGACAGCUGAUGAAACUGAGAAGUAUUUCUGUCUGUAAUAAAGCCCAUUUUGUGGGGGAAAAUUAAUUCUGAUUGGACUGGGCCUGGCUCCCAAGUGGGUGGGCCUCAUGGCUGUGCCCCUGCCCAGUAAUGUGAAAUCCAUAGAU